GACAAUAUUACUUAGUGAAUGAGAACAUGACUUGGUUGGAGGCUCAGAGGUACUGCAGAGAGAACUACACUGACCUGGCUACUGUAGACAACAUGGAGGAGAUGAAGCAGCUGAUGGUGGCAGUAGAUCCUAAGUUUGUAGGUUCUUUGUGGAUAGGACUGAACAAGGCCCCCCCGAGACGCUGGGGCUGGUCUUCAGGAGAGAUCCCACAAUACAUGAAUUGGAGAAGUCUGGAACCAGACGGUGGAAACAUAGAUGGACUUUGUGCCACGAAAUAUCAGUUCAGUGGAUGGAUUAAUGCUUAUUGUACAGAUGUUUUGGAUUUUGUUUGCUACAGCGAACCGACUAAACAAUUUAUCCAUGUUAGCAAAUGAGACAGUUGGAGAAAUGCUCAAUAUUAUUGCCGACAGCAUUAUACUGACCUGGCCACCAUUCACAAUGAAGAGGAACAUCAGAACAUUUCAGAUCUUCUGGGCAGCGUACAAUACGCAUGGAUCGGCCUCUUCUUCGACAACUGGAAAUGGUCUGACCGACGAAGCACCUCGUUCCGCUACUGGGAGCCAGGACAACCCUGGAGUCCCACAGGCAAGGCAAACUGUGUCGCCAUGGUGACUACAUGGAACGGACGAUGGAAAUGACUCACCAUGUGAUGCAAAGCUACCUUUCAUGUGUUAUAAAGCACUGAGACAGCGCAUAGUAAAACUGAUUAUGACCUCUAAUGAGCAGAAGGAUCUGAAUGACCCUGCUAUGAAGACAGCCAUUCUGACUCAGAUCAAGAGAAAAUUGAGGACACAGGAAGCCGGUAAUGACGCCACCCUGAGCUGGCGAGAGAAAAAUGGAAAGGUUUUUAAGUUGUACAAGAAG